UGGGGAAUAUUGGGCAAUGGGCGCAAGCCUGACCCAGCAACGCCGCGUGAAGGAAGAAGGCCCUCGGGUUGUAAACUUCUUUUAUCAGGGACGAAGAAGUGACGGUACCUGAUGAAUAAGCCACGGCUAACUACGUGCCAGCAGCCGCGGUAAUACGUAGGUGGCAAGCGUUAUCCGGAUUUACUGGGUGUAAAGGGCGUGUAGGCGGGAGAGCAAGUCAGACGUGAAAUUCCAGGGCUCAACCCUGGAACUGCGUUUGAAACUGUUCUUCUUGAGUGAUGGAGAGGCAGGCGGAAUUCCGUGUGUAGCGGUGAAAUGCGUAGAUAUACGGAGGAACACCAGUGGCGAAGGCGGCCUGCUGGACAUUAACUGACGCUGAGGCGCGAAAGCGUGGGGAGCAAACAGGAUUAGAUACC
rnacentral:rRNA from 1 species